rnacentral:rRNA from 1 species
UACGUAGGGUGCAGGCGUUAAUCGGAAUUACUGGGCGUAAAGCGUGCGCAGGCGGUUUGCUAAGACAGGUGUGAAAUCCCCGGGCUUAACCUGGGAACUGCGCUUGUAACUGGCAAGCUAGAGUGUGGCAGAGGGGGGUGGAAUUCCACGUGGAGCAGUGAAAUGCGUAGAGAUGUGGAGGAACACCGAUGGCGAAGGCAGCCCCCUGGGCUAACACUGACGCUCAUGCACGAAAGCGUGGGGAGCAAACAGG